UACGGAGGGGGCUAGCGUUGCUCGGAAUCACUGGGCGUAAAGGGUGCGUAGGCGGGUCUUUAAGUCAGGGGUGAAAUCCUGGAGCUCAACUCCAGAACUGCCUUUGAUACUGAAGAUCUUGAGUCCGGGAGAGGUGAGUGGAACUGCGAGUGUAGAGGUGAAAUUCGUAGAUAUUCGCAAGAACACCAGUGGCGAAGGCGGCUCACUGGCCCGGUACUGACGCUGAGGCACGAAAGCGUGGGGAGCAAACAGG
rnacentral:rRNA from 1 species